GCCUUCGUGGUGUAGUGGUCAGCACGCUCGACGCGUAUUCAAGACGUCCGUGGUUCGAGUCCCGGUGAGGACA
rnacentral:tRNA from 1 species